GGCUCGGUAGCGCAGCGGUUCAGCGUACCUGUUGUAUUUUAAAAAAUAGUUUGGCCUGAACAGGAGACCCCAGUUCGACUCUGGGCCGAGUCU